AACGAACGCUGGCGGCAUGCCUAACACAUGCAAGUCGAACGCCAUGGUUUCGGCCAUGGAGUGGCGCACGGGUGAGUAACGCGUGGGAACCUGCCCAGCAGUAUGGGACAACCGCGGGAAACUGCGGCUAAUACCGUAUACGCCCGUCUUUGGGAGACCCAGGGGCGGGGAAAGAUUGAUCGCUGUUGGAGGGGACCGCGUCGGAUUAGGUAGCUGGUGGGGUAAAGGCCUACCAAGCCUGCGAUCCGUAGCUGGUCUGAGAGGAUGAUCAGCCACACUGGGACUGAGAGACGGCCCAGACUCCUACGGGAGGCAGCAGUGGGGAAUAUUGGACAAUGGGCGAAAGCCUGAUCCAGCAAUGCCGCGUGAGUGAUGAAGGCCUUAGGGUUGUAAAGCUCUUUCACACGCGACGAUGAUGACGGUAGCGUGAGAAGAAGCCCCGGCUAACUCCGUGCCAGCCGCCGCGGUAAAAC
rnacentral:rRNA from 1 species